UCAGGUGUAUAAGACGUUAACAGAGAAAACGAUAUAUUAAAAUAAAAAAUUGAAAAUCGACAGUAUAUUAUGAUGGUUAAUGAUAUAAUUUAUUAUAACGAGCAGUUCGUAUUCGUGUCUUUCGAUUUAAUUAGGUAGCCAGGUAGGUACCUACUUAAUGUUACGACAUAUUCUACAUUUCUAUAUAAUAUUUAGAUUAUUCCUACUUGGAUGAGUUUUAGCCAUUAGCCGAAUAUUAAUAUCGAAAUCGAAUCGCGUUUGUAUAUACGCCAUAUUUCUAUAGCUACCUACCUACUCUAUAUAGGUACUAAUAUACUGCGUCACUGCGAAAUAAUCAAUCGCCUGAGUUUUAAUGUCGUGGUCGUAUAUUAUAAUAUAUUAUAUUAUUAUUUAUAAUGUAUAAUAUUUUUAAUUGUUUAUCAAUUAGGUAUACAUAUCGGUGAACGUGAUUCAUGAUUUUGCAUUGUUAGAACGUUAUAAAAUAGUAAUCUCACCAUACGUAAAAGAUUAUUAGCUAUAGAGCUCAGCUCUGAAUGAAUAGUGAAUGAUGAUAAAUUCAAUAAAAUACGCAAAUAUGCCAAUAUGAUUAAUUAUUUUUCACAAAUCAAUGUAAAAAAAGGACUGCGAGGACCGAGGUAAAAUCUUGAGUAUUCAGCUGCUCCAAAAUCCAAAUUCUAUCAAAUAUCCUCCCGGCACACAACAAUAUGCAUCUGAAGUUGAUAGGCAUUAAACAUUUAUACCGUCG